AUGAACGGAGGUCUCACGGGUAUGGAACCACAUGAGGGUUUGUUGUAGAUCAAGGAUCAGUAUCCUAGGAGUCACUGAAAGAUCACAGGAGAAACAGUAGUGUGACGGGGUGAAGAAGCACAUGACACAAGGAUGCAGUGAGGAGGGGGAUGGCCUCAGGGUAGUGGGUGGCAUAGUCCAGGAUGUGUUUGUGUCCCCUGGCGGACUUCAGCAGCGGCCCCACUAGGUCCAUCCCGAUUCGCUCAAAGGGCACCUCAAUGAUGGGCAGUGGUAUCAGCGGGCUGGGGGGAGGGGUGCAUGGAGUUCACUGGCAGGUAGCACAG